rnacentral:rRNA from 1 species
AGUGAACGCUGGCGGUAGGCCUAACACAUGCAAGUCGAACGGCAGCACAGUAAGAGCUUGCUCUUACGGGUGGCGAGUGGCGGACGAGUGAGGAAUACAUCGGAAUCUACUUUUUCGUGGGGGAUAACGUAGGGAAACUUACGCUAAUACCGCAUACGACCUACGGGUGAAAGCAGGGGAUCUUCGGACCUUGCGCGAUUGAAUGAGCUGAUGUCGGAUUAGCUAGUUGGCGGGGUAACGGCCCACCAAGGCGACGAUCCGUAGCUGGUCUGAGAGGAUGAUCAGCCACACUGGAACUGAGACACGGUCCAGACUCCUACGGGAGGCAGCAGUGGGGAAUAUUGGACAAUGGGCGCAAGCCUGAUCCAGCCAUACCGCGUGGGUGAAGAAGGCCUUCGGGUCGUAAAGCCCUGUUGUUGGGAAAGAAAAGCAGCAGGUUAAUACCCCGCUGUUCUGACGGUACCCAAAGAAUAAGCACCGGCUAACUUCGUG